rnacentral:rRNA from 1 species
CCUACGGGAGGCAGCAGUGGGGAAUAUUGGGCAAUGGAGGCAACUCUGACCCAGCAACGCCGCGUGAAUGAUGAAGGUCUUCGGAUUGUAAAGUUCUGUGAUGGGGGAUGAACACAAUGACGGUACCCCACUCGCAAGCCACGGCUAACUACGUGCCAGCAGCCGCGGUAAUACGUAGGUGGCAAGCGUUAUCCGGAAUGACUGGGCGUAAAGGGGGCGUAGGUGGUUUAGUAAGUUGGCGGUGUAAUUCCGGGGCUCAACCUCGGCGCUACCGCCAAAACUAUUAGACUAGAGUGCAGGAGGGGUAAGUGGAAUUCCUAGUGUAGCGGUGGAAUGCGUAGAUAUUAGGAGGAACAUCAGGGGCGAAGGCGACUUACUGGACUGUAACUGACACUGAGGCACGAAAGCGUGGGGAGCAAACAGGAUUAGAUACCCUUGUAGUC